rnacentral:rRNA from 1 species
UGCCCUACGGGAGGCAGCAGUGAGGAAUAUUGGUCAAUGGUCGGGAGACUGAACCAGCCAAGCCGCGUGAGGGAUGAAGGUACAGAGUAUCGUAAACCUCUUUUGUCAGGGAACAAAGGCGGGGACGUGUCCCCGGAUGAGUGUACCUGAAGAAAAAGCAUCGGCUAACUCCGUGCCAGCAGCCGCGGUAAUACGGAGGAUGCGAGCGUUAUCCGGAUUUAUUGGGCGUAAAGGGAACGCAGGCGGGCUUUUAAGUCUGAUGUGAAAGCCUUCGGCUUAACCGGGGUA